UUACUGUACGUUCAGGUCACCUCCCCUCCCCAACUUUGCGAUUGCUGUCACAUUACUGUACGUUCAGGUCACCUCCCCUCCCCAACUUUGCGAUAGCUGUCACAUUUACUGUACGUUCAGGUCACCUCCCCUCCCCAACUUUGCGAUAGCUGUCACAUUUACUGUACGUUCAGGUCACCUCCCCUCCCCAACUUUGCGAUAGCUGUCACAUUUACUGUACGUUCAGGUCACCUCCCCUUCCCAACUUUGCGAUAGCUGUCACAUUUACUCUACGUUCAGGUCACCUCCCCUCCCCAACUUUGCGAUCGCCGUGACAUUUACUGUACGUUCAGGUCACCUCCCCUCCCCAACUUUGCGAUCGCCGUGACAUUUACUACGUUCAGGUCACCUCCCUUCCCCAACUUUGCGAUUGGUGUCACAUUUACUAUACGUUCAGGUCACCUCCCCUCCCCAACGUUGCGAUUGCCGUCACAUUUACUGCGUUCAGGUCACCGUCCCUCCCCAACUUUGCGAUCACCGUGACAUUUGCUACGUUCAGGUCACCUCCCCUCCCCAACUUUGCGGUCGCCGUGACAUUUAGGGUCGUAUUAUAAGACAUUUCAUCGCCCAAGAACACUAAUUUGACAGGGCUUUCGUAUGAGUUGUGGGCAUUUCCAGGAACAGUCCUAUGACCCUGGUGAUAGUGUGACCCUUUCUCUGUACCAUGAACCUGUAGAAACACUCAUUAUAACCCAGUUGACCUCCUCUUUGA